rnacentral:tRNA from 1 species
GCCCCGGUGACGAAAUCGGUAGACGUAGCGGAUUCAAAAUCCGCCGCCGCAAGGCGUGCCAGUUCGAGUCUGGCCCGGGGCACCA